GUCCCCAGAUGGCAAGGUUGGCCAAGGCUCAUGCUUUCCCAACUUACGUGCGAUUGUCGGCCCUGUAUAAACUAUUGUUCUAAUUGAACAAAAGUCGUCUAGCUUAAUAUUGAAACAUUAAUUUUUUAAUGAUUGUCGGUUCUUGUAUAAGGGCUUUUGCUGCAAUUAAGUACAUCGCCCGCUUCGCACAUAACAUUAACAUUGCGGCAGUGAAUACCCUUAAGUAAAUCUGAAGAGUAAGGAUAAGACUACCUAAAAUAAAGCCAUUAAAGUCUACAUUAAAACAAAUGAGGAAGACUCCAAGUUUCUUUCGAAGAAGCAAAAGGAAUACUGAAGAGUUAAAGGCUUUUCAAAUGAAAAAGUACGAUAAGGCAGAGUCUGAGUGCCCGAAGCUGAUUCAGGAAGUAAGGAAAAGGCGGAGCUCCGACUACCAAAUGCUGGACUGAUUUCUGAAAUUUACAAGUUUUAUUUGUCGAUUUUUGGCGAAAAUUACGAGGGAGAAGACCGGCAAAUAAAGCCAUUGGGAAUUAUAACGACCUAUGAGGAAAGAGUUGUUUCGGAAGUACGGAAUUUGCUCAGGCGAUUGGACCCGGUAACAAAAGAAGUGUGAGCAGAAAAGUUAUAGAAGAAUAUCAGCCAUGGCAUGUUGCCGCUUUCAAAUUAGAAGAAAGAUUGCUGUCAAACGCUGUUCAAGCUAUCGGAAAUGGAGUGGAAGCAAAAACAAGGACGGAAUUGAAUGGUUUGAAUACAGAGGUACCAACAUCAUCUGUAGCUGCUACUGGAUUAAAUGACAUCUGUGUGCUCUUCGUCAAUUAGACCCUCGAAAAACAGCCUGAUGCCAACC